UGGCGAGAAUUUAACGGAAGAUAAUAUGGAUUAGUAGGAAAGUAAAAGCCUUGAUCUUGAUCGUAAGACAGACAUUAUUACUAAAAUAAGAUUUUAAGGUUACUUUUUAUUUUCAUUAAAACAAGGCUAAGCAAGGAUAAGGCUCUCUCUCUCUCUCUGUAACACACACUCAUUCUGUCUGUCGUAUUUAUCGUGAUCGCCGACUUUCCUGCAUUUUGCUCUCUCUCUCUCUCUCUCUCUCUCUCUCUCUCUCUUCGCCUCUGGUGAUCUUCGAGUUCUCGUUCUCAUUUUCUUUCUUCCUCUAUAGUACUUUCCACGUCUUUCUCGUUAGCCAAGCAUUGUUUUUUUUUUUGGAAUAUUUUGUGUUUGGGUUUUGAAUACCAAAAUGUGAGAUUCGUGAAAAGCAUUAAUGUGGUUGGGAAAAGCUUUGAUCUGAAAGAUUUGUUUGUGAUCGAGAAAGUUGUUUUUCUCUUUUUCGCUUUUGAGAGCGGUUUAUUUCUCUUUAAUCGGUCUGUCGGAGGCUCCUCCGUUCGUCGGAAUCGAAGCCUGGUCGGCUAGGUUUUUUUUUUAAUUGAGAUUUUGGGGAAAAAAUUAGGAAAGAUGAUGGUGAGGAAUGUGGUGAUUGGAAUGCUGUUCGUCACUGUGAUUGCUCCCAUUGUUCUUUACACCGAUCGACUCGGAACCUUCCAGAGCUACUCUGCCUCUACGAACGAAUUUGUUGAAGAUGUUACGACUGUCGUAAGUGAUAAAAAUGUUGUUUUGCAUUUUUGUUUUUUCGAAUAUUUUUUUUCCUGUAAAUUUUCAAACUUUUGGGGUUUUUAUUCUUCGACCCAGGCUUUUAAUGGCGAUAGUGGCCGUCUAAAUCUGCUUCCUCAGGAACCUUCCACUAAGAUCAAAGAACCGAUUGGAAUCGUGUAUUCCGACAAUUCGAAUCAAUCUCUUCCGAAUUCCGGUGAUGCCGUGAAGGAGAGCUCCACCGACACUAGCAACUCCGAACAAGAUUGGCAAUUGGGGGAUUCGAUGGAACAUGUUUCGGCUAGGGUACUGUCUACCACAAACGAUGAAAAUAAUUCUCGAAAAGAAAACGCUAUCAGAGAAGUCACUGAUAGGGAUCAGGAAGGAGAUCAGGAGACACUUGAUAUUGUGGACGGUGAAGGAGAAACCAAGGGCGAGGCAAUAGAUGCAGAAGUGAAAGAAAUUCAGCAAAAAGUCGAUGAUGGCUCUGGAGAUACGGAAGUGAAGCCUGAACAAACCACUGAAACCUCCAGCAGAGUGGACAAGAGGGAACCUAGAAAAACUAGACCUGAGAAACAGAAUGAUCGGACAGUUAUUCCCGAUGCUCGUGUACGGCAUCUCAAAGAUCAGCUUGUCAGGGCAAGAGUAUACCUUUCCCUUCCUGCCACAAGAAACAAUCCCCAUUUUACGAGGGAGCUUCGAGUGCGAAUGAAGGAGGUUCAGCGAGCACUUGGUGACGCAAGCAAGGAUUCUGAGCUGCCAAGGAAUGCUUAUGACAGGUUGAAGGCGAUGGAGCAGUCAUUGGCUAAAGGAAAGCAAAUUCAAGAUGACUGUGCUGCUGCAGUGAAGAAGCUUCGGGCAAUGCUUCAUUCCACAGAGGAGCAACUCCGAGUGCACAAAAAGCAGACUUUGUUCUUGACACAAUUGACUGCGAAAACGCUCCCCAAAGGUCUUCAUUGUCUUCCCUUGCGGCUUACUACUGAAUACUAUUCCUUGAAUUAUUCUGAGCAGCACUUUCCAAAUGAAGAUAAAUUGGAAGAUCCCCAGCUGUACCAUUAUGCACUAUUUUCAGAUAAUGUAUUAGCAGCAGCUGUUGUUGUUAACUCAACCAUUACACAUGCUAAGGAUCCUUCGAAGCAUGUGUUCCACAUUGUCACUGACAGACUCAACUAUGCAGCUAUGAGAAUGUGGUUCUUGGUAAAUCCCCCUGGAAAAGCCACUGUCCAAGUUCAAAACAUUGAAGAAUUUACAUGGUUGAACUCAAGCUAUAGUCCAGUUCUGAAGCAAUUGGGUUCACAGUCAAUGAUCAAUUAUUACUUCAGGACUCACCGGGCCAGUUCUGAUUCAAAUUUGAAGUUCCGGAACCCAAAAUAUUUAUCUAUCCUCAACCACCUGCGCUUUUACCUACCACAAAUCUUCCCAAAACUUGACAAGGUGCUCUUCGUGGAUGAUGAUAUAGUUGUGCAGAAGGAUCUCACUGCCCUUUGGUCACUUGAUUUGAAGGGAAAUGUUAAUGGUGCUGUAGAGACUUGUGGAGAAAGCUUUCAUCGCUUUGAUCGGUACCUCAACUUUUCAAACCCUCUGAUAUCAAAGAACUUUGACCCUCGCGCUUGUGGAUGGGCAUAUGGAAUGAAUAUCUUUGAUUUGAAGGAAUGGAAGAGGCAACAAAUCACGGAUGUGUAUCAUUCAUGGCAGAAGCUUAAUCAUGACAGGCAAUUAUGGAAGUUGGGAACCCUGCCGCCUGGUCUAAUAACGUUUUGGAAACGUACUUAUCCACUUGACAGAUCAUGGCAUGUACUGGGUCUGGGAUACAACCCUAACGUAGGCCAGAAGGACAUUGAACGAGCAGCCGUUAUACACUACAAUGGUAACAUGAAACCGUGGCUCGAGAUAGGCAUACCUAAGUACCGUAACUACUGGGCGAAGUAUGUUGAUUACGAUCAAUUGUAUCUGCGAGAGUGCAAUCUCAAUCCAUAGUUGAAGCCUUCUACGUUUAUAUUUAAUCUUCGGAAAGUGAAAGUGUUCUGCAGAUAUCUGCCAGGCCAUAUAAUUUUACAGGUUUUUUUGGUGUUGGAGUGUGUUGAUCAAAUGUGGUUGGUGUUGAUAGCUGCGAUGAUGGUAUUGUCUGUGGGCUGAAAGAUGAGAAGAUUUUUAAAAUUGUGAUUAAUAUAAUAUAAAUGUUAUUUAUAUAUAGUUGGUAAAAAAAAUUUAAAGACAUUAUUUACCUUUGUGGUUCUUCUGUUCCUGUAGUUAACUGUUUUGAUGGCGAUGAUGGAACAUGGAUGUCUUCAAAUAUUUUAGAAAUUAAUGUCCUCAUUUAGGUGUCUCAUUGUUGAAAGAAGACU